CCAGUCAGCGAGUCAGCCAUUUUAAUAUUUUUACGAUUGAACUGCAACUAACUCCCCUAGUCCACUGAAAUCGUGUUGGUGUCGGUAAUAUUACUAUUUUAGGAAUAGGAUAGGACAUAAAAGUGAAAGCCAUGCCGGGAAAGGGUGAUAGAGAUGACAUGGAUUUGGAACCUGAACAGGUGCGGAAAAUAUUUAUUGGAGGUUUGGAUUAUGGCACAACUGAAGAAACCCUUGAAGCCUAUUUUGAGCGUUGGGGUGACAUUGUUGAUUUGGUCGUGAUGAAAGAUCCCUACACAAACAGGUCAAGAGGUUUUGGCUUUGUAACCUAUUCUCACUCGGAUAUGGUAGAUGAAGCUAUGUCCCACCGUCCUCACACCAUAGAUGGACGUGAAGUGGAAACUAAAAGAGCCAUUCCUAAAACUGAAAUUGAAAAUAUUCCACAACAAGCAUUGGAUGUUAAGAAACUUUUUGUUGGAGGGCUAAAACAUCUUGAAGAGCCAGAUCUCCAUGAUCAUUUCAGUCAAUUUGGAGCUAUUAUCUCCUGUGAUAUUAUCCUUAACAGAGACACAGGCGACAAGAGAGGAUUUGCUUUUAUUGAAUUUGACGAUACAGACGCUGUAGACAAAGUCAUUUUACAUAAGAAACAUGAAAUCAAAGGAGUCAGGCUGUUUGUGAAGAAGGCUGUUGAAUGGAAUGAGAUCAAGAAAGGACCAGGAGGUGGCUUCAGAGGUGGAUCUCGUGGUGGAGGCUUCAGAGGAGGAAGAGGCAGCAGGGGGGGGCGAGGUGGAGACGAGUUUUAUGAGAGGCAUGGUGGGGGCUACGGCAGAGAUAGCUAUGAAGGCGGCAGACGAGGUAGAGGGGGGCGUGGGGGCUACAGGGGUGGAUACCAACGAGAUGAGGGGUAUGACUCUGGAUAUCGAAGUGGAGGUCGACGUGGAGGAUUUAGAGAUGAUGACGACUGGGAGGAAAGACCAAGUCGCAGAGAGUUCAGUCGCAAAGAUGAUGAUUGGGAGGUUGAGAGGCCAAGCCGCCGGUUCAGAGAAGAUAGCAUGGAACGAGGAUAUGGUGGUGGUGGUGGCCGCUGGGACGAUGGUCCAUCCAGCAAGAAGAGUUGGGGAGGAGGAGGAGGAGACUCGUGGCGGCGUGGCUCUCCCGAGAGAUCUAGCCGAGGAGGCAGAGGUGGCUACAGAGGUGAUAGGUUCGGUGGUGGAGGUGGUCCGAUUCGCUCCAGUUUCAGCUCUGGUCGUAGUGCACCAUAUGACACAACUUACCCUCUAAAUCGUCGUGGAAGAUACUGAAUGCCAUUCAAUAUGAUCAUGUAUUACAUUAUACAUCAAGCCUGCUUGACUGGACUGUACAUCACCUUGACUUGGUGGAACGACCAAGACUUGGAGUUGGAACCAAGAAGGGUGAAUCGAGUGAACAGAAAGGAGAACAACAAGAAACAAUUGAUAUAAUAAAAAACUUUUAAAAGGUAUUACAUUAUACAUAAGCCUGCUUGACUGGACUGUACAUCACCUCGACUUGAUGGAACGACCAAGACUUGGAGUUGGAACCAAGAAGGGUGAAUCGAGUGAGUGAACAGCCAGGAGAACAACAAGAAACAAUUGACAUAAUAAAUAAACUUUUAAAAGGAGUGAAAAGAGCUUUGUCAAGCAAUAUCCAAAACAAAGAUUACAGCUGUCUAGCAAGUAAGAAAAUAAAUCUGAGAUGAAUCAAAAUACUUGUCUAUGUUUUAUUUACCAAAAGAAA